rnacentral:rRNA from 1 species
UCAGCAGCCGCGGUAAUACGUAGGGUGCRAGCGUUAAUCGGAAUUACUGGGCGUAAAGCGUGCGCAGGUGGUUCGUUAAGACAGUUGUGAAAUCCCCGGGCUYAACCUGGGAACUGCAAUUGUGACUGGCGGACUAGAGUUUGGCAGAGGGGGGUGGAAUUCCUGGUGUAGCAGUGAAAUGCGUAGAUAUCAGGAGGAACACCGAUGGCGAAGGCAGCCCCCUGGGCCAUGACUGACACUCAUGCACGAAAGCGUGGGGAGCAAACAGGAUUAGAUACCCUGGUAGUCCACGCCCUAAACGAUGUCUABUAGUUGUUGGGUCUUCAUUGACUUAGUAACGAAGCUAACGCGUGAAAUANACCGCCUGGGGAGUACGGCCGCAAGGUUAAAACUCAAAGGAAUUGACGG